rnacentral:rRNA from 1 species
UGGGGAAUAUUGGACAAUGGGGGCAACCCUGAUCCAGCGACGCCGCGUGGGUGAAGAAGGCCUGCGGGUUGUAAAGCCCUUUCGGUGGGGAAGAAAAGCCUCGAGUUAACACCUCGGGGUCUUGACGUAACCCAUUAAAGAAGCACCGGCUAACUCUGUGCCAGCAGCCGCGGUAAUACAGAGGGUGCGAGCGUUAAUCGGAAUUACUGGGCGUAAAGCGCGCGUAGGCGGCUUUGCAAGUCGAUUGUGAAAUCCCCAGGCUUAACCUGGGAACUGCAUUCGAGACUGCAUAGCUAGAGUAUGGGAGAGGGAAGUGGAAUUUCAGGUGUAGCGGUGAAAUGCGUAGAUAUCUGAAGGAACAUCAGUGGCGAAAGCGACUUCCUGGACCAAUACUGACGCUCAUGUGCGAAAGCGUGGGGAGCAAAC